rnacentral:rRNA from 1 species
AUACGGAGGAUGCAAGCGUUAUCCGGAUUUAUUGGGUUUAAAGGGUGCGUAGGCGGUUUGCUAAGCGGGAGGUGAAAUGCCGGCGCUCAACGUCGGAAGUGCCUCCCGAACUGGUGGACUUGAAUGACUCUGCCGUGGGAGGAAUGUGUAGUGUAGCGGUGAAAUGCUUAGAGAUUACACAGAACACCGAUUGCGAAGGCAUCUCACGAAGGGUUGAUUGACGCUGAGGCACGAAAGCGUGGGGAUCAAACAGGAUUAGAUACCCUGGUAGUCCACGCCCUAAACGAUGAAUACUAGGUGUGGGGGGACUGACCCCCUCCGUGCCGGAGUAAACACAAUAAGUAUUCCACCUGGGGAGUACGACCGCAAGGUUGAAACUUAAAGGAAUUGACGGGG